GACGAACGCUGGCGGCGUGCUUAACACAUGCAAGUCGAACGAAGUGGCGAACGGGUGAGUAACGCGUAAUCAACCUGCCCUUCAGAGGGGGACAACAGUUGGAACAGACUGCUAAUCCCGCAUACUGAAGGAGGGGGAUGAGUCGGAUACGCUCGUUGGAUGGGUAACGGCCCACCAAGGCGCUGAUCACUAGCCUGUUUGAGAGGGUUGACGGCUCAAUUGGGACUGGGACACGGCCCCGACCUCUACGGGGGGCAGCAGUGGGGAAACUUCCGCAAUGGAGGAAAGGCUGACGGAGCAACGCCGCGGGAGUGAGGACGGCCUUCGGGUUGUAAAGAUCUGUUAAUCGGGACGCGGUACCGGAAUAGAAAGCCACGGCUAACUACGUGCCAGCCGCCGCGGUAAUAC
rnacentral:rRNA from 1 species